rnacentral:tRNA from 1 species
GGGGUUUUAGCUCAACGGGUAGAGCGUAGGCUUUGCAAGUCUAAGGUUGCAGGUUCGAGACCAGUAAACUCCA